GCCUCUCGAUAUACGUGGUGAACCUCUAAGAAAAAGUAGCUACCCACCACACACUAACUAUCAUAAAUAAGAGGGUGCACUGCUGCAGACGAUGGCUGUCCAUAUAAUCAGGCAACCACCGUGGUGGAGUCCCCCUCGAGCAUAAGUCUUGCUACACCAAGCCUUAGUCUGGCAACGGAGAUGCCUACCUAUGCCGCCUACAACUCAGCUACCA
rnacentral:lncRNA from 1 species